GCAAGUCGAACGAGGGUAGCAAUACCUAGUGGCGCACGGGGUGAGUAACGCGUGGAUAAUCUGCCUUAGAGUGGGGGAUAACCAGUCGAAAGAUUGGCUAAUACCGCAUAAGACCACAGGAGCUGCGGCUCUCGAGGUCAAAGGUUUUUCGCUCUAAGAUGAGUCCGCGUAAGAUUAGCUAGUUGGUGAGGUAAUGGCUCACCAAGGCAACGAUCUCUAACUGGUCUGAGAGGAUGAUCAGUCACACUGGAACUGAGACACGGUCCAGACUCCUACGGGAGGCAGCAGUAGGGAAUAUUGCACAAUGGAGGAAACUCUGAUGCAGCGACGCCGCGUGAGUGAUGAAGGCCUUCGGGUCGUAAAGCUCUGUCGCAGGGGAAUAACACAAUGAAGGUACCCUGUAAGAAAGGAUCGGCUAACUUCGUGCCAGCAGCCGCGGUAAGACGAGGGAUCCUAGCGUUGUUCGGAAUCAUUGGGCGUAAAGCGGGUGUAGGUGGCUUUGUAAGUCAGGUGUGAAAGCCUAGGGCUCAACCCUAGAAGUGCAUUUGAUACUGCGAAGCUUGAGUGUGGGAGAGGAUAGUAGAAUUGUUGGUGUAGUGG
rnacentral:rRNA from 1 species